rnacentral:rRNA from 1 species
AUUGAACGCUGGCGGAAUGCUUUACACAUGCAAGUCGAACGGUAGAGGGGGCAACCCCUCGAGAGUGGCGAACGGGUGAGUAAUAUAUCGGAACGUGCCCAGUCGUGGGGGAUAACGUAGCGAAAGUUACGCUAAUACCGCAUACGAUCUAAGGACGAAAGCGGGGGAUCGCAAGACCUCGCGCGAUUGGAGCGGCCGAUAUCAGAUUAGGUAGUUGGUGGGGUAAAGGCUCACCAAGCCAACGAUCUGUAGCUGGUCUGAGAGGACGACCAGCCACACUGGAACUGAGACACGGUCCAGACUCCUACGGGAGGCAGCAGUGGGGAAUUUUGGACAAUGGACGCAAGUCUGAUCCAGCCAUUCCGCGUGCAGGAUGAAGGCCCUCGGGUUGUAAACUGCUUUUGUACGGAACGAAAAGGUCUCUCUUAAUACGGGGGGCUCAUGACGGUACCGUGAGAAUAAGCACCGGCUAACUACGUGCCAGCCGCCGCGGUAA